AUAACUGCAUGAUAAUACUUCCCAUAAAUUAUAGUAAUGUUAAUUGUCUCCCUCAAAGCAAGGCCAUUAAGCCGCUUACUGCUUCUACCUUAAUAAUUUAUUUUGAUAUUUCUUGUGGCCCUACCUUUUCAACGGUCUUUUACUUUUUACCCAGAGGGGAUGUAAACACCUCCCUGACAGUCCUUUGUUGUAUAUUUCAUCUCUAAGUAUAACAGGAGAGGGAAGCAAAUGACCAAAUAGGUCGUGAUAAGCUCUGCAGCCAACCAAGACAAAAGGCUCUAGAAGACUACAGUAGGAAGAGCUUCAUUCGGAAAUACAAAUCCUAACACAUGGAAAAAAGCCUGGGGGAGACUGGAAAAUGCACAUGGCUAACAAGCUCCUGGAAUGCCCGUGCUGUUGCUCUAUAGGACCACAGGCUUUUUUCUUCUUUGUAAAUUGGAGAUAAAAAUAAUGUCUACCUCCUGGGGUUUUGAGAAGAUUAAACAUAAUAAUGGACAUGAGCACCUUGGACAAGUACCUGGCCUCAA